rnacentral:lncRNA from 1 species
GUAUUUUAUUAAGUAUGGAUAGAACUGUACUAUUGUAUUUCAAAGCAAUUGUUUUUUUUUUUUUUUCCUGACAAAUUUUAGUCCAUAUUGAUUUUCUUAAAAUUUAAUUUAUUCUUGAUAAUCGCUGGAAUUAUUGAGUGGCCAAUAUAGCUUUGUAAGUGACAGCAAUAAGCCUAGAAAGACCUAAUUGUGGUCACACUGCAAAUUUUUGUAGCCAUUUUUGUAAUUUUGUCACAACUAUAAUAACAACAGUUCUUCCACCAAAUUGGUGAAUCCUCUUUGAAUAGCAUGUGAAUGCAGUUGUGCUUGAAAACAAAGUUCGUCUUUCUAGUGACUUGCAAGCAUGCAGCCAAUGAAGAGAGUUAAUCUCUAACAUGAUAAAGCAAAAUAGCAGUAAAACAUGGAAUUCUAUGAUAAUCAAAUUACACUGCUCAAUGACUUUUUUUUUUAUUUUUUAUUUAUUAAUGGUUCCUUUGAAAAACAGUUUGUGAAGCAGGAUUU